ensembl:lncRNA
UAGAGUGACUGAGCAUCUCCUUCUUCUCUCUCCAAGACCGUCUGGCUGAAGACACACUUAAGAGCACGAACAUCCCACAUGAAAGAACAACCAUUCACUAAAGAAGAGGGAGAAAAAGCAGCACAAAAGCAUUCACUUGGAGAGAAAAAGAAAGGAUAAAAAAGAAGGGAGGAGAAUCAAAAUCAACAGUGGUGAAGGUAAUUGUACAGUUUUUUUUUCUCUUUUUCUUUGAAUUUCAAACUGAAAAGGCAGAGAGGGAGGAGAGAUACAUCUUUCCAAAUCUACAUGUGAUAGGUGAGAGCUGUGCUUUUCUAUGCAGACCUGGAAGGUGUUUGAGUACAAUUCUCAAAAAACCAAGAGAAAGCGCAUGAAUCUGUACAGCUGUGCACAGCCCCACCCUCUCCAGCACCGGGGGCAGAGCCGUGCCACCAAAAAGUGAUUCGAUCAAAAAAAAAAGAACAUUUUUAAAAAUCAAUACAUAUACUGUAAUUCAGGCUAAGUAAAGACAUUGCAAUGCAGGGCGAACAGGCAAAAAGAAUCGGUACAGUUCAUCAACAUCAACAUGGGUAAGUCAGUAAGAACGUUUCAAGAGUGGAUCACAGGAACCCUUGCAAAAUUCUUUUUUUUUAAAAAAAGGGGGAGAGAGGGAAAAAAAGUUCUGUAGCUACAAAGCACAAGAAAUAUACCUUUAAUAAUGUUACAGAAUAAUCAUUGAUAUUGGUGUUAUCAUCUUCAUCGUCGUUAUCGUCUGAUAUUAUUGUCAUCCUUUUUUUUCUUUUUUUUCAAUUAUCUCUACUCGUAAAGAUUCUAGAAUUGGAGGAUCUACAGCUUUCUACAAAGACUGACAGCCCAAUGACCUUCAUCUGCAAGCCUCCAUAUCAUUUCCCUGAGCCCAACAUCUACCCGCCCACCCCGUAACCCCGCCCACAUGAUGCCCAUUCUUUUUUGCUGUGUCUGUCUUUUCCGUUUUCUUUUUUCCUCUUUUUUUGUUCUUUUUAUUUUGUGUUUUAUUCUUUCUUUUCGCACCAUUAGCUAUGUGAAGCAAGUAGCUGUUUCUUUAUACAAAGGCUGAGGGGGUCAUGCUAUCAGUGACGGGGACUCCAUUACCCAGCCAACUAAAACAGAAACCUGGGGAAAAGAAGGGAUGAAGAGGGAAGGGUGACAACGGACGAGAGGUAGAAGAAUGGACGAAGUGGAGUAAGUACAAAGGAAGUGCGUGGGACAGAUGAUCAAUAAAUAAAUUAAUAAAUUAAUCAACAACAAUACAAAAGUAAUAGUUCCUCACAAGACAAAUGUUAAUAAGUUCUCAUAACAGUGACCUAGUGUUUCUAGUACUGUUCCCAGACACGUCAAUCUCAGAAGGUUGGCACUGAUAUGACACUUGCAAUCAUAGUACUGGUUCGACAGACCUGGGGUCACAUGCCAAGCGGCCCAGGCCCUUCCCCAGAGAGCUGAGCUACGGAAGUGACGGGGAUGGGUAGAAACGAAACGUAAGAAAAGCCUGGGUUAUUCCAUUCUUUAUGAUAUGGAACGGUACUACAGUGAUUAAAAAUCCGAAACAAGGACACGCCACAACUGACUUGAACUAUAGUGCUCCAGACUAGCAUAACCGUGGAUUUAGCUAUCGUCACAUUAUCGUCAAAGUAAAAUUCGUAUAGCCAGGCAAACAUGUACAGGUCAUCCCCCUGACUGAUAUUUGUGUAAUAAAUAUACAUACAAUGACAUAAAACAUAAAAAAAAAAAAUGAGGGUUGUUUAGUUUCAAUGAUAAAGACACAGUGGAAAACAGGGGAGAACAAAACAUACAACAGCAAAGAAAAACAAAAACAACACAAAAAAAGGUCCCAACUUUGUUCUAAAACCAUAAAGGCUGGGUUUCUAUAAGAAAUCAGUUCUGUUGGCAGCUCUUUGAAAGACAAACUAAAAACAUUUCAUAUAUAUAUAAUAUAUUUAUAUAUUUGUAUAUGCCUAUUUUAAAAUUAUCAUUAUCAUUAUUUACCAACUUGCAUUUUCAAUAAUAAUCAUUUCCAAAGAAGUGGCUCGAGAGGGAGGGGGCGGGCCUCAGUACAAGCCGCAGCCUCGCAGGUUGUUGGCGAUGAUGAUGUCGGUCACAGCAUCGAACACCACCUGGAUGUUUCCUGUAUCCGUGGCACAGGUCAAGUGACAGUAGAUCUCCUUAUUAGGUGAGCGGUUCUUGCUUUCAAAUUGUGCUUGGAUGUAAGCAGCUGCAUCGUCGUAGGUGUUUGGACCUACGGGGGGAUACAGAGAUCAAAUGAGUAUGUGAAAGAAAGGUUCUGAUAUUAUGCCAAAAUUAAAAAUGGCAUAAAAGUGGUACGGCUUUGUGCUUGUCCCUCAAAAUGCUCAUUAACCCAAUAUUUAAAAUGGCCUUGGUGACUUCUGACAUUCACAAAUGUCCCUUCUCUUCUGUUCUCUAAAAGCCAAGCAUUCUUUAACUUGGCUCCUUAUGAAGUAAGUGUCCCGUUGAGAUGCUGCUGUAUCCUGGUUAUGUAUGAGACCAUUUACAAUCACACUUAAAAUGUCAUUGCAUUAGAAAGAAAAUUUGCUUUCAUGUAAUACUAGACAAUGCUUUUCUCAAAUGUCCUAGUAGAGUAACAACAGAUGGACUUUAUCUUAUUAAUUAUGGACACAAACAACACUGAACAAUAUAUCGAGAUGUUGAGAUAUUGCAUUUAUCAACUUAUAAUUACAUUUAAUAAUUCACUUACUAGUUC